GGUAAGGUGGCUGAAAUUUAGGUCGCAAAUUGUAAAUUUGCUUAUGGUUAAUACCUCUUACC
rnacentral:tRNA from 1 species